AGUGAACGCUGGCGGCGUGCUUAACACAUGCAAGUCGAGCGAUAUUUGACAGCACAUCGUCAGAUAUAGCGGCAGACGGGUGAGUAAUACUUGGGCAAUCUGCCCUUGAGAGGGAGACAACCUGCCGAAAGGCGGGCUAAUAUCCCGUAAGACCACAGGAGUGCAUACUCCAGCGGUCAAAGCUCCGCAAGGGGCGCUUGAGGAGGAGCCCGAGGCCUAUCAUGGUAGUUGGUGGGUAACGGCCCACCAAGCCUUUGACGGGUAGCCGGCCUGAAAGGGUGAUCGGCCACACUGGCACUGAGACACGGGCCAGACUCCUACGGGAGGCAGCAGUGGGGAAUCUUGCACAAUGGAGGCAACUCUGAUGCAGCGACGCCGCGUGAGCGAUGAAGCCCCUUCGGGUGUAAAGCUCUUUCGGCAGGAACGAUAAUGACGGUACCUGAAGAAGAAG
rnacentral:rRNA from 1 species